rnacentral:lncRNA from 1 species
AUUUGGAGGAGGACGUGGCCAUUCAAUUCUAAAUGCCUGAAUAUAAUGUUAAAAUAAAACAUGUAUCAAAUAGGUCAUAGCUUGCUACAGCUGGAUGGGGAUCUAAUGUCCUUGCCAGAAUCUAACUCAGUGCAGGAAGAAGACACAGAUGUUGAGAUGCACUGGACUGAUGUUCAGAAGAAGGAAGUUGUAACUGGACCCUUCCAUCUACAUCUUGGUGCUCAUGCAGGGAUCACGUGGGAUGGGAUUCUCACAGAUGUAGGUGGGACACAAAACUUAGAGUAGUGCAGGGGGAGGAUAUCCAUGCUCAGUUGCAAGCCUUGGAUCAUUCCUCAUUACCAUCAGUGCUUGGAAAGUCAGUUUACGUCUUCUCCAUCGCUUCUUCCAUCUGUCCUUAUCUGCCCUUAUAUCGUGAGGGAGACUGAAGGUUGCUCUCAGGACCCAUCAACUCCAUGAAGCUGAGUCAUGUAUCGUACGCAGUGGUAAGUUGCUUGAUGGGCCUUCGUUACAGAGCCAGUCUGAGUCCCAAGGUGAGAUCUGAGCACUAAUUUGACACUUCUCUUAA